CGAUGAUACGCGAGGAACCUUACCGGGCUUGAAAUGCAUCUGACCGGCCUUGAAAGAGGUUUUUCCCGUUUCGGGGCAGAUGUGUGGUGCUGCAUGGUUGUCGUCAGCUCGUGCCGUGAGGUGUCGGCUUAAGUGCCAUAACGAGCGCAACCCUCAUCAUUAGUUACCAUCAGGUAAGGCUGGGGACUCUAAUGAGACUGCCAUCGUAAGAUGUGAGGAAGGUGGGGAUGACGUCAAAUCAGCACGGCCCUUACGUCCGGGGCGACACACGUGUUACAAUGGGUGGUACAAAGGGCAGCUACCUGGCGACAGGAUGCUAAUCUCCAAAACCACUCUCAGUUCGGAUCGGAGUCUGCAACUCGACUCCGUGAAGCUGGAUUCGCUAGUAAUCGCGCAUCAGCCACGGCGCGGUGAAUACGUUCCCGGGCCUU
rnacentral:rRNA from 1 species